rnacentral:rRNA from 1 species
AUACGUAGGUGGCGAGCGUUGUCCGGAAUUACUGGGCGUAAAGGAUGCGUAGGUGGAUACUUAAGUGGGAUGUGAAGUCCCCGGGCUCAACCCGGGAACUGCAUUCCAAACUGGGUAUCUAGAGUGCAGGAGAGGAAAGCGGAAUUCCUAGUGUAGCGGUGAAAUGCGUAGAUAUUAGGAGGAACACCAGGGGCGAAGGCGUCUUUCGGGACUGUAACUGCCACUGAGGCAUGAAAGCGUGGGUAGCAAACAGAAUUAGAUACCCUGGUAGUCCACGCCGUAAACGAUGGGUACUAGGUGUAGGAGGUAUCGACCCCUUCUGUGCCGUCGUUAACACAAUAAGUACCCCGCCUGGGGAGUACGGUCGCAAGACUAAAACUCAAAGGAAUUGACGGGG